UAGGGAAUCUUCCACAAUGGACGCAAGUCUGAUGGAGCAACGCCGCGUGAGUGAAGAAGGUUUUCGGACCGUAAAGCUCUGUUGUUGGUGAAGAAGGAUAGAGGUAGUAACUGGCCUUUAUUUGACGGUAAUCAACCAGAAAGUCACGGCUAACUACGUGCCAGCAGCCGCGGUAAUACGUAGGUGGCAAGCGUUGUCCGGAUUUAUUGGGCGUAAAGCGAGCGCAGGCGGAAGAAUAAGUCUGAUGUGAAAGCCCUCGGCUUAACCGAGGAAUUGCAUCGGAAACUGUUUUCUUGAGUGCAGAAGAGGAGAGUAGAACUCCAUGUGUAGCGGUGGAAUGCGUAGAUAUAUGGAAGAAUACCAGUGGCGAAGGCGGCUCUCUGGUCUGCAACUGACGCUGAGGCUCGAAAAGCAUGGGUAGCGAACAGGAUUAGAUACCCUGGUAGUCCAUGCCGUAAAACGAUGAGUGCUAAGUGUUGGGAGGCUUCCGCCUCUCAGUGCUGCAGCUAACGCAUUAAGCACUCCGCCUGGGGGAGUACGACCGCAAAGGUUGA
rnacentral:rRNA from 1 species